CAACCAACGAAAGGAGGUGAUCCAGUGUCUCUUACCAAGCGCUGUCACCUCGCUGGGAUCGCCCGCUAGGCUCUGCAAGGCCAACUAGCUUUGAAGGCUUGUAGGUUUUGAAGGUCUGGCAUCGGGGCGCUCUCAGCCCUGGACCAGCGAGCACAAAUAGUGGGGCGCGACGGGAGCAAUCCCGUCGCGCC
rnacentral:misc_RNA from 2 species